rnacentral:rRNA from 1 species
GAUGAACGCUAGCGGCAGGCUUAAUACAUGCAAGUCGAGGGGCAGCAUGUCCCGCAGCAAUGCGGGAUGAUGGCGACCGGCAAACGGGUGCGGAACACGUACACAACCUUCCUUUAAGCGGGGAAUAGCCCGGGGAAACCCGGAUUAAUACCCCAUAGUAUAUUGAAAAGGCAUCUUUUUAAUAUUAAAGAUUUAUCACUUGAAGAUGGGUGUGCGGCUGAUUAGGUAGUUGGCGGGGUAACGGCCAACCAAGCCUGCGAUCAGUAACUGGUGUGAGAGCACGACCAGUCACACGGGCACUGAGACACGGGCCCGACUCCUACAGGAGGCAGCAGUAAGGAAUAUUGGUCAAUGGACGAAAGUCUGAACCAGCCAUGCCGCGUGGAGGAUGAAGGUCCUCUGGAUUGUAAACUUCUUUUAUAUGGGACGAAAAAAGGGUUUUCUAACUCGUCUGACGGUACCAUAUGAAUAAGCACCGGCUAACUCCGUGCCAGCAGCCGCCGUAAUAC